GGUUAUAGGACUGGGCUGCAUGAGUUCAAUAUACAGAGGACAAAGCCCAGAGGGGUUUUGGUUUUGAUCUGUAGACUGCAGAGUUCUUACUUGUACUUCCUGCCAGAGCAGGAACCGGGCCCACAAAUGCCCCUAGGGAGAGAUGCAGAAAGUGGCUGGGAGAAAGAGGCUGAUACUUUGGAAAACCAACAGGGAAGCUGUAGUGGCUACAGAUGAAUGGUGACAGUGAGAACACCGGUAAUCAGCACAGCGCACCUCCUCUGCCAUCCUGUGUUGGGAACAAAAGCUUGAACUAGAACAUGGCCCAGGGCCUUGUGAGUCGUCUGUCUGGGGCUUCCAUAGGCCUCAGGGGAAGCAGAUCAUCACCGUGAAGGAUCUAUUUCUUGACUAUAGGUCUGUGUAUCCACCCCUUUCAGAUAUCAGUUGGAUGACUGUCUUUUCAGCAUGAGUUCUAGACAUAAACAUGCCCUGCUUUGAGCACAAACCCACUGCCCCCAUUCCAGUUUUUUGGGUUUUCCAAAAAUGAUGACCAUGUAAUGACUCUUCAUCUGUUCUCUUGCCUGGAUCUGAUUUGGAGAUACUUUGAGGGGUGACUGUGGCUUUGCAACUGAGCUUUUUUUCUUUUUUCUUUGGGAAGUUAACUGUCCCAACCAUUGUGGUUGCCUAGCAACAAGGGAUGGCCAAGGAUUCUAAAACUCUAAGGACCGAGGGUAGUUAAGGUCUGUCCAAAGGACACGAGUUCCCAGUGGGCCUAACUAGAGAUGGGAGAAUGUUACAGCAUUAACUCUGUAGUCCCAAAUUCUGAAAACACAGAGAGCUACAGCAUGCAGUCUGCAAAUUCAGAGUCAGAUGUACAACCCAACAAUGAAGCACUGUUUUCAGCCUCUGAAAGAACAAAAUCAAAACUUCUUGAGCAAGUUUACUGGAUGGAGGACAAACUAGAAGCUGUGGACGUUAAGGAAGCCAGUAGGGAAUUAUAUGAAAAAAUAAUUCUAAUAAAAGACCAGUGCAUUGAGAAGCUGCAAGCUGAAAUAAAAGCUUCCCAGAAACAACUUAAAGUCCAUGAACUAAAGCACAAAAAGAGACUGAAAAAGCUACAAAUUGAUUUGGCAGCAACAAAGCAAGAGGCUGCCAUCAUGGCGCUGGAACUCAAUGAAAAGAUAAAGACGCUCUGUGAAAAAGAGUCAGCCCCCAGAGAAUUAUUACAUGUAUCCAUUCUUUAAACACUCUUCGGUGCUUGUAGAGAGUUAAACAAGAAAAAAGUCCUCACUGCACUUCAGUGAAGGGAGAAGAAAAACGUAUAAAGAAAGGCAAUAGUAGAGAAAUAAAAUCUACACAAAAUGAGUGAAAAUUAAAGUGUGAUGCUUACGGCCCCUUCCACAUGCAAGUGGGAAUUUCUACCAAGGUCCUCUGCUCUGUACCUGCAGGGUUCACACCUGCUUCUUCUACAUGGCUUCUUAAUCUUUAGCCCCAGUCUGCUCCCUUUGUCUCUGAUUCUUCUCCGAGGAAGUCAUUUGUAACUCUCUGCAUCACCAAUACCUGUGGUCAUCCCCUGAGUUCUAUGUCCACGACCUUGUGCACACCACUCACAAGACCCAUUAUAACAGCUCCUGGCCUGUCUGUCUUUACUGUGAGACUGUAGGCUUCUUGAAGAGAAACAGAGAUGCUUUAUUUUUAUUUGUUAGUUCAGCACAGUGCCUAAAGCUUGCGGUCACGAAACAGUGGAUGAACAGAUAUUCAAUGAAACUUAGUGAGAGUAUUUCUUUGGGUACUAUUGCUUAAUACAUUUAUCAAUUAUGAAGUGUUGGGGGGAGUUUGCUUAUAAAAUUUAAAGUGACCCAAGUUGCGGACUUCAGACUAAACAGUCAGAUUGCCAAUGAUGUCCAUGGAAUCACUGAAUGGUACAAUUUUUGGAUCCCAGAUUUAAGACCAUCAAAGACUGAGAAUACUUUGAAAUAUUAUUGAUUCUUUUAUACUAUAUUGCAAUAUACUAUUUUGAAUAAUGUCCAACUAUAUUAUUUUAUGACUUUUUGCUUU
ensembl:lincRNA